GCCUGGCUAGCUCAAUUGGUAGAGCGUGAGACUCUUAAUCCCAAGGUUGUGGGUUUGACCCCCACAUUGGGUG
rnacentral:tRNA from 1 species